CACACGAAAAAUGCUUUUGAAUUUUAUCUAAUUUAUACCGUUAACCAUUGCUUUUUGGAAAUAUAUUUAUAACAAGAGGAUAUUAAAGGUGAUUAUCGUUCGGAUACUACCAAUCUUAUUAUACAUGGACAUAUAUUUACUGUGAUAAAAGGUUUUAUGUCUAGUCAACAAAGGAAUAAGGUCAACACGGACAGGACGCGUGGGCAAGUUCUUUGUCUACACGCUAAAUUAAAGAUGGCUACAACGAAAAUAUUGCUGUAUGGACAUUAUUUCGUCGCAAAUUUGAAAUCUUUUAAACAAAGUGUGGCGUCAGACCGCUCAUUAGAAAUUGUUAACGAUUUUAAACCAGACAUUGUAUUGCUAAUGGUGGAAACUUGUGACCUGUAUGACUCUACAGAAUCACCAGAAAAUAUGGUAGACGAAAUCUGCAGUCUGUCAGAGCAGCUGUGUAACAAAUACGGUGUCAAACUUGUCAUAGUCAUUCAAGCUUUACACUGGACACAACCAUCAAUUCCAAUCCAAUAUCCAGUACAUUUUCCCUGGUUCAACGACCGAGUGGACAUAUGCAAUCGACUUCUAUACACUCAGCUUCCCAAAAUUUCUGCAAAACUUUGGAGAUCGAAAGGAUUUUGGUCUGAAUCGAGUCAGCAGACAGUUUUCGCUGCGGAUGGUACACAUCUAUCUCCCCUGGGAAACAGAAAACUGUGCAACAAUAUCAGAGCAGCCAUCAUAUAUGGAGCAAUGAUCUUUGAAUUCAGAUACGUAUUAAGUUCUUACAUUUAUUUUUGUAAUAUAAAUGUAUACAGCAAAUUAUUCAAUAUAUAUAUAUUAAAAGUGCAAAUUAAUUCCUUCAUUAUUCUGUUCAACGAUAUUUAAUCAAACUUAUGUAAUUGUUUGCACCUUCGUGGUCCUCCUAAUUCAUUUCGGGUUCCGGCAUUCAUUUCUUUUUCUGUUUUUUACAAAUUUCACGAUUACAUGUAUUAAUCAUAAUUUAUCUUCCGAAUAUUCAUUGUGCUCUGAUAUAUUUGACAGCCCAUAAGGCUGUUUAUUUCAUAAUUUACGGAUGCACAUUUGGAACUUCUUGUAUUUAAACUUGAGUGAUGUGUAUACGACAAUUUUCAGAUAAACAAAACUAAAUUCAGGGGAAACAAAACUAAAUUCUACUAACCCAACAGAAUGUACAGAGGAUUGAAAAGGUGUAACGCACUGCGGGAAGAUGGGCAUGUAGGAGGUGGCGUAGGAUCAGUCAUGUGGGUGACAUGCCGACAGAACUAGACUUGGAUAGUCUAGAGCAUAGAAGAGAGAUGAAACGAAAGAGAGCCAGUGCACUACCUGAUGGUAGAACAGAAAGCGUAGAAAAAAUGAACGGGGCCAUUCUCUAACAUUGUGGAGGAACAAUUACCUCGCGUAAACACAGUAAGAAGUCAAAAAGACAGAACUAAUGUCGCGAAAAACAGCUCAUACUAGGUCUCCUCCUCCAAGAAGACAAGCUCAGAAAAAAACAAUUAAAACAAAACAAACGCUUUGCAGAAGUACUUGAAGAGUCUUCAGAUGAACACACAGACAGAGAUGAAGACUCAGAGGAUGACUCGUAUUCCUUGGAGUCGGAUACCAGUGAUUCUUCCAGCAAUGGCAAUAUGUUACAGAUCACUUCAAGUCAUUCCAAAAAUAUCAUUAAUGCUAUGCAUAUUUUGCUGAAUGCAGUAUUCGUAAGACUACAAGAACUGGCAGUACAAUAUCCCUACUUCCAGACGCAAAAAUCCUAUCGUUAAACUUGCAACCCUUGACAACAGAGAAAAUUGAAAAUUAAAUACUUAAAAACAAGGACAGAUAUCAAACAAGGAAUGCAAUGCUGAAAUUCAACUCACUAAAUGAAAGUACGAACAUGAAGAAACUGUGAGGAAUAUAAAAAAACGAUUGUGUUUGUGAGAGAGAAUAGAUAUAUAUGUUUCUUAGAAUUUUAAGUAGUCAAUACUUAUUACAAAUGGUUAAUGUGAAUCAAAAUCAAUGCCACAAAACUAUUAAAGUAUCACAUGAUGUAACUGUACCAAAUAUGAAACAUGUGUGCUGUGACUGCAAAUGUUUAGUUGCAAAAUAAAUGCUAUGAAUUCUUGUUAUGAUACUCAGUAUUAAGUUGAAAUGUAUGCCACCAGAUUUGAGAACGACAUGCAGGCACUAAAUGGAAUAUAUACAAUAAGAUUAGUAUGAAAGGUAUGACCGGGACAUAUUAUUUGCGAUGUAAUAUCUUUGAGCCUUAAUUUAAUUGUCAGAAUUAUGUGAAAAGUUAACAAGAGGCCUAAAUGGGCCUAAGUCCUUAAACUGGAGAAAGCCUUAACCAUCUGACUUUGCUUCUAACUAGGUUUGGUGAAAAUCCUUUAACCUGUUCAUUAUUUUUUAUUAUCAUUUUGCUGUCACGCACCAAAGCACAUAACCAUCGAAAGAAAUCAUCUAAAGUUAUUUCUUUUUCAACUCUAGUGGCCCCUAAAAGAGCCAAAGUAUCCCUAUUUGAAUAGAUUUGAUAUAAGACAUAACAUGGUAAAAGACCUUAUAAUGAUGCU